rnacentral:SRP_RNA from 1 species
CCGUGCUAGGUGGGGAGUUAGCGGUGCCCUGAACCUGCAACCCGCUAUAGCAGGGCUGACCACUCCGCCAGAGGCGUUCGACUCCUUGCGUACCAGGGUCGCUUUGGUGGCAUUGAUCGGCGGGUCCCAUGGAGCAGUGCGGCCGUGAACCUGGUCAGGGGCGGAAGCCAGCAGCCAUAAGCGGUACCGCUGCCUGCCGUGGGGUGGCCUGUCGGGAGUCGCCAAGCGGGUGCUGGCGUGGGGGCCGACGUCGAAAGGAGCGCACGG